UAAGACGGAUUGGCAUCAAAGUUCACUUCUUUAACAAAAGUGUUUUAUGACUUUAAUAAAAUAUUAGAGAAUGGUAGACUCCAUGGAAGCCCUUUACAAAAACUUGUGAUAGGAAGUUUUGAUGAUGAGCAGACUUUGCAACAACUGGAAUUGCAAAAUGACCCAAUUUUACAAAGCUUCCAAAAUGCAGUUAGUGAAACAAAGAUGAGGAUAUAAGUCUCCCAGAGAGUGAAGAACAGGAGUGUGAAGAGGAUGGUUCAGAGACAGAGGCUGGUGGCCAGGAGGACCUAGAAGAUUUAGAGGAGGAAGAGGAAGUGUCAGAUAUGGGUGGUGACAAUCCUGAAGUGAGUGAGACAGCAAACUCAAGCAAGUGCGAUCUGAGGAAAAGCCCAGUUUUCAGUGCUGAGGAUUCUGAUCUUGACUUUGGUAUCAACAAAUUGGAACAGCAGAGCAAGGUGCAAAACAAAGGACAUGGAAAACCAAGAGAAAAGUCCAUAGUAGAAGAGAUAUUCUUCCAACUCUCUGCAAUGGAGGCCUAUUUAGAACACAGACAACAAGAAGAGGAACAAAAAGAUGAUGAUGAUGAGGUGGAAGAUACUGAUCUUUUUAAAGAUAUUCAUGCUGAUGAAGAUGAAGGGGGACUCUCUGGAAGUAAGAAAGUUAAGUCAGGUAAAAGUUCCAGAAAUGUGAAGUACAAAGAUUUUUUUGAUCCAGUUGAAAAUGAUGAACACAUAGCAAGUGAUCAUGAUGAUGCGCUGGGUUCAAACAAGAUGAUGAAAUUGCUGAAGAAGCAGCAGAAGAACUAAGCAUUUCUGAAAUCUAUUUUGAACCAUCCUUUACAAGCACCUGUGAUUACAGAGGAAACACUUUUCACCUGGAAGAUAUCAUUAAACAAGAUAAGAGUUCAGGUCAGUAA